UGCAUAUCAAUAAGCGGAGGAAAAGAAACCAACAGGGAUUGCCCUAGUAAUGGCGAAUGAACAGGCAAAAGCUCAGAUUUGAAACCCUCGGGAUUGUAAUCUGGAGACCUGGAUUUGGCGCGCUGACCAAGUCUUCUGGAAUGGAGCGCCAUGGAGGGUGACAGCCCCGUAGCAGCAGCCACUGUAAAUCCGGGUCGACGAGUCGAGUUGUUUGGGAAUGCAGCUCUAAGUGGGUGGUAUGCUCCAUCUAAAGCUAAAUAUUGGCGAGAGACCGAUAGCGAACAAGUACUGUGAAGGAAAGAUGAAAAGAACUUUGAAAAGAGAGUGAAAAAGUACGUGAAAUUGUUGAAAUGGAAGGCAAUGAGGUGCGAUUGAACCGGACGUUUGCGGGCAGGACAAAAGCGCAGGCCGCCUCGGCAUUGCCUGCGUGCAUACUGCCUCGCGGACUACCGGUUCUAACAACGCCUUAUUGCACCCGUCUUGAAACACGGACCA
rnacentral:rRNA from 1 species